AUUGCAGUUGAUACUGUCAGUCUUGAGUACAGUAGAGUGGGGCGGAAUUCGUGGUGUAGCGGUGAAAUGCUUAGAUAUCACGAAGAACUCCGAUUGCGAAGGCAGCUCACUGGACUGCAACUGACACUGAUGCUCGAAAGUGUGGGUAUCAAACAGGAUUAGAUACCCUGGUAGUCCACACAGUAAACGAUGAAUACUCGCUGUUUGCGAUAUACAGUAAGCGGCCAAGCGAAAGCAUUAAGUAUUCCACCUGGGGAGUACGCCGGCAACGGUGAAACUCAAAGGAAUUGACGGGGGCCCGCACAAGCGGAGGAACAUGUGGUUUAAUUCGAUGAUACGCGAGGAACCUUACCCGGGCUUAAAUUGCAGUGGAAUGAUGUGGAAACAUGUCAGUGAGCAAUCACCGCUGUGAAGGUGCUGCAUGGUUGUCGUCAGCUCGUGCCGUGAGGUGUCGGCUUAAGUGCCAUAACGAGCGCAACCCUUAUCUUCAGCUACUAACAGGUCAUGCUGAGGACUCUGGAGAGACUGCCGUCGUAAGAUGUGAGGAAGGUGGGGAUGACGUCAAAUCAGCACGGCCCUUACGUCCGGGGCUACACACGUGUUACAAUGGGGGGUACAGAAGGCAGCUAGCGGGUGACCGUAUGCUAAUCCCAAAAGCCUCUCUCAGUUCGGAUCGAAGUCUGCAACCCGACUUCGUGAAGCUGGAUUCGCUAGUAAUCGCGCAUCAGCCACGGCGCGGUGAAUACGUUCCCGGGCCUUGUACACACCGCCCGUCAAGCCAUGGGAGCCGGGGGUACAAGAAGUACGUAACCGCAAGGAUCGUCCUAGGG
rnacentral:rRNA from 1 species